rnacentral:lncRNA from 1 species
UAUGAUCUUUGGUGAGUCCUACUGGAUGGAAGAAGCUGCAAUAAUGUGUGAGUAAUGGAUGUUGGUUGCCUUUCUGAGAAACCAUAGAAGCUCUCAGGUAAAAAAUACACGCAAGAUGAUUAUUUUGAAGUACUGAUGCACCUUGCAAUACAUGUAUCUGUUUUGUAUUCAUCCACUAUGGAUUAUGACUAUUUAUUUGUUGUUCCCCUUUAUAUAUAGAAGUGUGUUUUCCGAGUCGGGUUUUCUGACAACUAUAGCCUGUGGGACAUGAUAAGAAUAUUUUCUCUACAUUUAUAAAGGACCAAAAUGUCGAUUGAUUAUAUGUUUUUAGAUUAUUUAUGUUUCUCUUCAAUACUACAUGUACUAUCUCUGCUGACUGACAUUUUUCUUUUGCCAUCAAUAGUAGCACUGAAAAUCAAUGAAAUUCAUCUGCUUGCAUGUUCAGUUAGCUUGGCUUGAUUCCUGUUUGCAGAAUCUAACUUUCCCUUUCCAUCGAGGGUUUCCUCUGCUCUAUAAUUUUCUUCUAUUUCCUCAUCCAAAUUGUGUUUAAAUGAUAGGCAACAUUGUGAAUUAUGACCAACUAGCUAUGGUUUAGUACGGUAUGGCUUUGUUAUGGCUCAUUUCAUUGACCAGUGUAUGGUUGGUUGUUACCAUCUUAAACCCAUAUUUUGAGACCACGGAGAAAAGAAGGGCAACAAAGCUUUAGUUUUUGGGAUAUUAUUAUCAUAUAGUGAGCAUGCUAAGCCACAACUAAGUCUUCUUGCAUGUUGUCGUAAUGUGUAAUUGGAUGUUAAGCUAAUAACUUGAUAGAUGAAAUUUAGUCGAUCUUGCUGUAUAAAUUCUAGCAUGGUGCAGACUGAUAGCUGAAAUUUUAGUCUAUGUUGCACUAUAAAUUCUGGCAAUGCAGUUGAUCUUGCCGUAUAAUUUCUGGCAUAGUGCAGACCAUACAACACCACGACGAUGGUCGAUGGACACCAUUAUGUAAAAAAAAUCUCAACAGUGCUAUCUUGCAUUUGUUGCAUCUCUGCAUUAGGUAAACAUCCUUUUUUAUUCUUACUUGCCUUACUUGAUAUGAGCAGCAGCAGAUCGUUGUCCACAUGCUAAUUGCCAAACCGUGUGCUGCUACAAGUCGUGGGCCUUUUAUGAGCGGCAACAGAACAACGUCAUCUAAGCAUGGAUCAAAAUGGACACUCCAAGGCUACAAGGACAAAUGCAAUCCCGCACAUACAUCUCCGAUGACAAUCUGGUCCCAACAUAGGCAUCGACUGAAGAGAAGGUAGCUCAGACCACACUAUCCUAACUUUGUGAUCAUCACCGCAUAGUCAUCCAAUACCACAACUAUGAGGCGCUCAACACAAUAACCCACACCUGCUCCACAGCUUGAGACUGGGCAAGGACGUAAUAUUGGAAACUCAAUAUGUCUCAGUAGCAAUCUCUCUCUCUCUCUCUCUCUCUCUCUCUCUCUCUCUCUCUCUCUCUCUCUCUCCCUCUCUCUCCCUCUCUCCCUCCCUCCCUCCCUCCCUCCCUCAGUAGAGAGGUUUUUUGUGGUUAGGAUGUACUGCUAUAUAUCUUGGUCGUUUUAUUUAGCAUAAUUGAGAAACGAUAGAAGGGUAGAAUGGACUGUUUGACAUAGGUAUGACUAUAGCAGAUCAAUAAAUGGGCAUUUUAGUAUUGUCCCACUGAUAGAAGAGUUCACUAACCAACUGAAUAUACUGAGCGGUUGUGUGUGAUACCUAUUGUCGACAUGGUAACAUGAUAAUCAGAUAUUUACAUGCAACCACAAUGGUAUGAUGUUAAUUUGAUAACUUGUUAGUUUUUCUGGACAGUAAUGUGAUGUGUUCCCUUUGGUUUUGUUCGACCCUAACAUACACAAGCAUGUCUGUAGAAAUCUUUAUGCUAUCAAACUCUUAAGUUCUAUUUGUAAAUCUGCUAACUUAAAUUUUAUUCAAUUGAGUAAAUGGAGUUCUUACAGAUCGUAUCAUGUUUUGGUUUGUAGGUUGGAAACUUCAAGUCUUAAGUUUGUUAAUGAGAGCAAUGCAAAAUUCUAAAGGGUCUGGCGUGUAAGCAAAACAGGUGUAUGUCUAUCUGUCGGCUGGAAACCGUAUUUAGGUGCUGUAGAAGCUCUAAAUAAUUAGUUUUUUCUUGCUUUCAAGGUGCCAUUUUAUUUCAGGAUUCGCUGAAGUAAUCAAGUAAUGUGGAGCUGUUGCUCAUUCAAAUAUUAUAUUUUCUUAUUGACUAUCCAUCCCUAUUAGUGUUGUACUUGAAGGAAAUAUGCCGUAGAGGCAAUAAUAAAGUUGUUAUUUAUAUUUCCUUAUAUCAUGAUAAAUGUUUAUUAUUCAUGCUAGAAUUGUAUUAACCGGAAACUUAGUACAUGUGUGAAUACAUAGACAAAACAAAGUGUCCCUAGUAUGCCUCUACUUGACUAGCUCGUUAAUCAAAUAUGGUUAAGUUUCCUGAUCAUAGACAUGUGUUGUCAUUUGAUGAACGGGAUCACAUCAUUAGAGAAUGAUGUGAUGGACAAGACCGAUCCUUAGCUUAGCAUAAUGAUCGUUAAGUUUUAUUGCUA